GUCUAUGGCCAUACCACCCUGAACGCACCCGAUCUCGUCUGAUCUCGAAAGCUAAGCAGGGUACUUGGAUGGGAGACCUCCUGGGAAUACCGGGUGCUGUAGGCU
rnacentral:rRNA from 1 species